ACUACCAGUUGUCCCUAAAAAUAAAACAGGGCAACCGUAAAACAGUGUAAUAAAAGUUAUGGAGAAUGGGGUUCUCUCCUCACAUAUCUUAUUAGUAUUGUUUUGGAGGGAGUAUUACUUUGAGCAAAACUUCAUCAAACUAUUCAGAGAGACGCGAUUGAAAAGGUAUAGUCUUUUUACUUCUGGUAUUUUCUGGCUAUGGUCGACAGUGGCUGACGAGUUGCAAUGAAGCACAACAAUGGCUGAGAGUUUCCUUGAGUUGCAUAUUUCAAGUGUCAAGUACACAUAGGUCAGGAUAGCUAGUGUUACCUGACACUUGGGUCAGAGAUGGUGUUCAUGGAGGACAUGGGCAGGCACAAAGAUACUUUAACAGAACAGUUCUCUGCUAUGUCCCAAUCAAGGUAAGGAGGAACCGAAUCAAUAAGAAACACUUUCUAAGAAAGGGGAAAUGCUUGAUAAGAAAACCGUAGGUAGUUAUGACAGAACGUCUGAUGACCAUAACCUGUACAACUGUUGGCUAAGGUGAGGCUAGGGAGACAGCACUAUGCUUACUGUGUUUAUUUCCUGAUUUUCCCUUGGUAAAGUCUGAAUUUCCUUUGAGGACUAAGUCCAUGUAGCUUGAGAACAGAAGGGUAGGCACGUCCUUAUAAUAAGUUGUGAAGGCUGGCCCAUAUCAGGCAAGAGAGGUGGUGUUAGAGGGACAAAGGGUGUUAGGGUGACUGUGGAAAUGAUAUUGGAGUCUAAACUUGUAUUUGGGACGUUAGAUUCUAACUAACUUCUCUCUAGAUUAACCCUCUUGGCCACCUUCUGAGUCCCAUGGAUUUUGUUUAGAUGGAGAGAUACUUGUUUUUAUGUACAUAUCUCAUUUUUCCUCUCCCACUCCUCUUCCCUCCUUCUCUGUUUCUCUCUGUGUGUACCUCUCCAUAUAGGUAUCUGUCUUUGUCUGUCUGUCUGUCUGUCUGUGUGCAUGCACAUGUGCAUGUUUUUAGUAUCUGACAAGAUCAGAAGAGUGCAUCAGAUCCCCAGGAGCUAGAGUUAUGGGUGAGUGUGAGACACCAUACAUGGGCACUGGAAUUUGAAUUUUGAUUCUCUCUCUGCAAGAGCUGUAAGCACUCUUAGACACAAAACCAUCUCUUUAGUUUUGAGAAGACCAUUUCAAACCAAGGGUAAUGAUGUUCUGGACAUGAUUAUGGUCCAGAACAAUGCCAAAGUCAUCCACCUCUUCCCACAGCAGCAGACCAUUCAGGAUUUCAACAUAGUGACAGCUGAUGUCUCUGAUUUGGACACACCCAGCAGUUGCCCAGCCACAGGUUCUACUCUUAUGUCCAGAGAGAAUAUGAUGGUUAGUUUUGAUUGUGAACUAGACAAAACCUAGAAUCACAUGGGAAGAUACUAUCAUUGACGGAUUUUUCUACAUUGGACUGGUCUGUGGGCAGGUAUUGGGGGCUUGCUUUAAGUUAAUUAUGUGUGAAGAUUCAACUGGCAGUGGGUGGCACCCUUUUUUAAUCAGGGACUCCUGAAGUGAAUAAGAGUGGAGAAAUCAAACCAACACUGACAUUUAUUUCUCCCUGUUCUUAAAUAUAGAUAUGAUGUGACUAGGUGCUUCAAAUUCUUGCCACAGUGAGUUCUGGGCUGUGGUAGACUGUAACCUGGAACUGCAGCCUAAAAUUUAAUAUUUUCUCUCCAAAUUUGCUUUUUGUCUGUACAUUUAAUCAUUGCAAUAGAAAUGGAACUAGAACAGAUAAGAAAAUAAAUUUUUCCAUGUAAAAAAUUUUCUGUGUUUAAGU